rnacentral:rRNA from 1 species
CUCAGUUCGGAUUGUAGUCUGCAACUCGACUACAUGACGCUUGAAUCGCUAGUAAUCGUAGAUCAGCAUGCUACGGUGAAUACCUUCCCGGGUCUUGUACACACCGCCCGUCACACCACGAGAGUUUGUAACACCCGAAGCCGGUGGAGUAACCUUUUAGGAGCUAGCCGUCGAAGGUGGGACAAAUGAUUGGGGUGAAGUCGUAACAAGGUAGCCGUAUCGGAAGGUGCGGCUGGAUCACCUCCUUUCUAAGGA